rnacentral:rRNA from 1 species
GACGAACGCUGGCGGCGUGCCUAACACAUGCAAGUCGAGCGGAGGUAAGUGGAUGGUAACUGAAGCUUACUUUAGCGGCGGACGGGUGAGUAACACGUGGGCAACCUGCCUCGAAGUGGGGGAUAACACCGAGAAAUCGGUGCUAAUACCGCAUAACAUACAGACACCACCUGGUGACUGUAUCAAAGGAGAAAUCCGCUUUGAGAUGGGCCCGCGGCUGAUUAGCUAGUUGGUGAGGUAAUGGCUCACCAAGGCGACGAUCAGUAGCCGACCUGAGAGGGUGACCGGCCACACUGGAACUGAGACACGGUCCAGACUCCUACGGGAGGCAGCAGUGGGGAAUAUUGCGCAAUGGGGGAAACCCUGACGCAGCAACGCCGCGUGGAGGAAGAAGGUCUUCGGAUUGUAAACUCCUGUCUUCUGGGACGAUAAUGACGGUACCAGAGGAGGAAGCCACGGCUAACUACGUGCCAGCAGCCGCGGUAAUACGUAGGUGGCGAGCGUUGUCCGGAAUUACUGGGCGUAAAGGGCGCGUAGGCGGUUCUUUAAGUUAGAUGUGAAAACCCAGGGCUUAACUUUGGGAGUGCAUUUAAAACUGAAGGACUCGAGUGCAGGAGAGGUAAGUGGAAUUCCUAGUGUAGCGGUGAAAUGCGUAGAUAUUAGGAGGAACACCAGUGGCGAAGGCGACUUACUGGACUGUAACUGACGCUGAGGCGCGAAAGCGUGGGGAGCAAACAGGAUUAGAUACCCUGGUAGUCCACGCUGUAAACGAUGGAUACUAGGUGUGGGAGGUAUCGACCCCUUCCGUGCCGCAGUAAACGCAAUAAGUAUCCCGCCUGGGGAGUACGGCCGCAAGGUUGAAACUCAAGGAAUUGACGGGGGCCCGCACAAGCAGCGGAGCAUGUGGUUUAAUUCGAAGCAACGCGAAGAACCUUACCAGACUUGACAUCGUCUGAAUUACUC